CCUUACGCCAUCUCUGCACAGACCCCCCUGCUUCUAUAGUGUUUUCUUGUGCUGGUCUAGCUACACCACAAGGGGCUUCAUGUCAUGCCAUGAAAGGAGUACUCCCUUGCUUCAGGAAUCAGAGUAACUUUUUUGUGUGUCUAGAUCAUGUUUCUAGUUUUAAUCACUUUAUUGUUUUGUUUAAAUUAUGCUCACAUCCUCCUUGUUUCUUCUGAAGUAGCAUUUUUCCAUCUUCGCCAUGUUGAUGGUGUGACACCUGUCCAGGUGAGAUGGGACUGUCAGAAUAGACGUGCUGAUGGAUCAGACCUGAACAUUCCAUGGUUGCCACGUGUUUUAUUUCAGGCGCAUCAUUCAGACCUGAUCAUUCAGACACAAACAACCUUCUGGUGGCCAGAAAAACACAGCUCCCUGCUUUCACUGGAACAUUUCUUUGGAAAGGAGACACCAGCUUUGGAGAUUUUACAUCCAUUUAAGACCGACUGUCACAGACAAGAGGACUUGUUCGUGGAAAAUGUGAGAUUUUUUUAAAGACUAUUUUCAAAAUGUUGUUUUCAAUGUAUUUUGCCGUUGACACGUUCAUCAAAGUGGCUUUCUUGACUUGUUUUAUACGGAGGUUCCCUCCAAGUCACAUUAAACUAUUCAACUAUUAAGAAAUAACCCGCUGAUAAAAUGAGGUUUCCUUAUUUUCUAAUCUGCGCCAUAAGUAACACAUGUCGUGACUGUCAGUUUUAUGCCCGAACUAUUACACACUGUUAACAGAAGGUGUAAAUUAACUGGAAGAAGAGAUUUUCUAGAAAAUGUUUUGUGAUACUUGACAACUUGACAAAGUGUUUCCAUGGAUUAAAUAAGGCUCAUAAACGGUGUUGUAGGAGGUGUGUAGGUUUGUCAAUCAGUCAAAUAUGUCAAAUAUAUCAAAAUUCCAUAUUGUUAAAUGAUGUCUGUAAUUCAAGUAGUGCAUAUUUCUAACAAAUGAACAGUUAUUAAUCUCAACAUGUAGACCUAAAUAACAUAUAGGACACCAGGGGCAGUUUCCCACUUCCAGACUGUUAGCAGGGACACAGUGAGAUUAAGAGAGAAACAACACAACAAGGUGCAUGAAUGACUUAAAUUAUGAGUCAUAUGGCAACAAGUCAUAUGUUCAUCAAAAACUUUAAUACAGCCUAAUCGUUCAUAUGCUCAUGUAUUAUUAAUAAUAAAUGCAAAAUUAUUUUAAUCAGCUUUCACAAGUAGAUUCUGAUUGAAUUCUCUCAGUUUGCCAUGAACAUAUAUUCAGUAAUGUUAAACUUUAUUCUGUGCUUCUGCUGUAUGUGGGGCCUCUUUCAAAUUCUAUUUGUAUUUACUGCUCAUACUCAUCUACUCUGUGCUAAAUAUAGUUUAAUGAAUUAUUAAUGAAUUUUAUAUUUUUUAUCUGGAGUGUUAUUGAACUGUGGUACUUUUAGUGAUGUGUGAAAGUUGUCAUGGUAACAGUUCAUGGUCUACAUGAUGUGGAGCAGAGGUCUAAAGGUUGUAUUUGUUUCCACCUUCAGACUGAAAAGCGCUGCACCUGGACCACGGCCUUCACUCCAGACCCCAGCCAGCCAACCAUCCACAGCAGGGUCCUGGCCCCUGCCUCCCACAGUAGCUCUUCAUGUAGCUCCUCCUCUCACUCCUCUCACUCCACUCACCCUCCUUCCACAUCCUCCUCUCACCCUCCCCCCACCUCCUCCUCUCACCCUCCUUCCACAUCCUCCUCUCACCCUCCCCCCACCUCCUCCUCUCCACAGAGAUGAGGAAAAAGGAGAGGAGAGGAGGAGAGGAGAGGAGGCAGGAGGGCAAUACACCAUGUGAACUCUCUCAUGUAAAAGAGAGCAGAAAAAAUCAGAGAAGAAAAGAGACAUGAAGAGAGGAGGAGAGGAGGUGGGAGGGCAACAUGAUGUCUACACCGUCUCAUGUAAACGAGAGGAAGAGAGGAGAGGAGAGGAGGUGGGAGGGCAAUAUGAGGAGUGACCGCUCCGCUCCGCUUAUCCAGCCAAACUUAUUCUCAUCAAACUGUACCUACCAAACAGAAUGAGUAAAACUCUGUUUCUGAGAAGCAGUCUGAAGGCAGCUUUACCUUUAUCAAAGCAUUCAUGUAAUAACCUUUUCACCUCUUGUAUAUUUGCUUUGCAGCCAAGAAAACCCUGAACUGCCUCUUCAUGAACUACAAAUGAACCAUGUUUCUGCAAAGAUUUUUAGCACAAUCAUACAGUGCACAGUGUUUGAAAUACAGUGAUGAAAGAAAGAAACGCCUCAGUUUGGUCUCUGUGGUUCUUGCACUGCUUUUUUUCACAUCUACACUACAUCAGACCAGGUCCUGAACAAAAACCACUUCACUUAGACAAAGUCAAACCUGGACCAGAUUAUCCACAUGAAACCAGGGACUCAUUUAACACAGUUUCAGAUUUGUGGAAACACAGACAUUUAAAUUCUAUAGAGGGGGCUCUGCCUUGUGUUAAGUUGAAGGCCCACACCAUGGAUACCUCAGGACAAGUUUAUUAGGCUGACCAACAGAGGAAUGACAAAAGUCUCAAGUCAACUGUGAUGUUUUAAGUUUGCCCCUACAUACGCUACACAUGUCUGGCGCUGUGGGAGACGGCUGCCUAUCCAGUAGCUCUCCAGUUUUUAAGCUCUUUCAACCUUUUUUAACCUCUACUUCCUAAGGAGACUGUGGUCUUUCAACAUCUGCAGCAAACUGCUGUGGAUGUUUUACUAGUCUGUGGUUGCCAGCGUCCUCUUUUACACUGGUGUGCUGGGGGGGCAGCAUAUCCAAGAAGGACACAUCCAGACUGGAUAAACUGAUCAGGCGGGCCGGCUCUGUGGUCAGCAUGAAGCUGGACUCUCUGGUGAUGGUGGCAGAGAUAAGGACACUGGACAAACUGCUGGAUAUUAUGGACAAUGCCAGC